ACACUCUCCGGCGCUUACCUCCGGCUCGCAGCGUUUGGCGUUAUAAGACGACACGAACACGGAGCCUCGGUCUUUCGCUUCCGAAAACACGGAGUCGUCGAAGUUGCUUCCAAAUAUUUCCAUGCCUGGCUGGCCCACUAUCUGGCAGGUCUGAAGAAUGGACUGUAGGCCGUUGGCAGCAGCUGAGAGCUGCCUCUUCUACUUCCUCUGGGGUCCAGCUGACGCCGUGCUUCAGCCGCUGGGCAGAGAACCAUACCUGGA